rnacentral:rRNA from 1 species
UACGGAGGAUCCAAGCGUUAUCCGGAUUUAUUGGGUUUAAAGGGUGCGUAGGCGGCCUGUUAAGUCAGGGGUGAAAGACGGUAGCUCAACUAUCGCAGUGCCCUUGAUACUGAUGGGCUUGAAUGGACUAGAGGUAGGCGGAAUGUGACAAGUAGCGGUGAAAUGCAUAGAUAUGACAUAGAACACCAAUUGCGAAGGCAGCUUGCUACAGGAAUAUUGACACUGAGGCACGAAAGCGUGGGGAUCAAACAGG